GCGAAAACUUUACAAUGCUGGCAACAGCGAUAAGGGAACCUCGAGUGCCAGGUUACAAAUCUGGCUGUCGAGAUACCUAAAAAGCAUUUCAUAGCAAGGGCCGGGCAAGACCGGUGCCAGCCGCCGCGGUAACACCGGCGGCUCGAGUGGUAACCGUUAUUAUUGGGUCAAAAGGGUCUGUAGCCGGCCGGAUAAGUCUCUUGAGAAAUCUGGCAGCUUAACUGUCAGGCUUUCAGGAGAUACUGUCUGGCUCGAGGCCGGGAGAGGUGAGAGGUACUUCAGGGGUAGGGGUGAAAUCUUGUAAUCCUUGAAGGACCACCAGUGGCGAAGGCGUCUCACCAGAACGGACCUGACGGCAAGGGACGAAAGCUAGGGGCACGAACC
rnacentral:rRNA from 1 species